UGUUUCCCUUACAACACUGCCAGCAGCUGGUCUUAAACAAGUACUCUGUUGCGCUUGACUGCUAUAAUUGAAUUCCAAUGCUUCGUUCAUGUCGAUGUUCUUACCACUACUGGUCGAGGGUAAAUGAACAUCGUUCUCAUCCCCUGGAUAAUUCUCAACACUUUCCAUAGAAUCUUCCUUGGCACUGUGGCCAAUUGUAUCCAUAGCAAUGACAGAAGA
rnacentral:misc_RNA from 1 species